rnacentral:lncRNA from 1 species
UCCCCGGCCCAAGAGGUCCCUUAUUAACAGGGUAUACAGCACAUAGCAAUGAGGGUGCCAGCUGCUUGGUGAUACUGGGCACAGCACCUACUUCAGCAGACUGUUUCUGCAUUUCUCAAAGGAGCUGCUGGGACUGCCUCAUCUCUUCCAGUACUAUCUUUCUGUGGUUUUACGCUCAGAGAGUACAUUUCCCUUCUGGAUUUAAGGACUUCCUGGAAACCCUUCAUGAUUUAGCUGUCGCCACGCCACAAAGCGCUAAUUCAGCAUUAAGCUGUAGGUAUACUGGUGCAAUAUCUAGAACAAAGCAGAGGUGUUUUCCUCUAUCCUGAGUUAGACAGUUGAAAUACAGAUUAGGACACCAUGUAAGAGAAAAACCAGUAUGCAACUGGAGAGCAGGAACUUGGAAUGUUUGAUCUGCCAAGUGAGCAAGAUAGGUAAAACAAGAACAAACUGCUGUCCUGUAAACCAAGUCCUGAAAACCAAGACCACACAAAGAGGGUAAGAUGAUGCAGGCACUUCCUGAAGGCUCCAAAGGGAGCCAAGGAGGGAAGCAGGAUCUGAGCAGAGGGAGGAUCAGCAACAAGGCAGGCAGGUGUGCCCUCCGAAGCAACCUGAGGCAGGCAUCAGGCGCCAGGUGGGUGAGAGUGCUCGGGGGAGCAUGUGAUAAAGAGGUGAUCUAGCUCGAGGAGGAGGAAUGAACUUUAGGAGGGCAAGAGCCAAGAGUGAGUAACAGAGCUAAAAAGCUUGAAGGGGUGGCUGGAUAAACCAUGCUCGGAUCACACAACAGGCAGAGAACAUCUCACGCUCCUGUGUGUGCUCUACAGGACACAUGGUCAGAGAAAGCAGCUGCAGACUAUGCUCGCUGCUUUCUGUAAGAGUCAAAACUGCCAAGGGACAUGUGUGUGUUUAUAUUUUCAAAAAGAAUCAACAGAAGGAAACGACAGGGAAAGAGACAAAGGGAGGGAGGGGUACACAGAGGGAAGCCAAGCUCAUCUGAAAUGUUAUUUGUAGCUUUGCAUUUAGAACCAUGUAAAUUGGGGAAGAAGAAACUCUAGAAAUAAAUACUAAAGCUGAAAUAUGCCUGCUUCCUUACUGUUACAUGGGUAGGUUCAGCAGAUGAAAAUUCACUGAAUUCUACCCACUAACGAUCUGCACACUUCCCUUCAUGAUUACUGUCCUCUAAAGUGGCUU